CGUUGCAUAGACACAUUCACGUAACCUAUUUGAAGCAUUUUCUCAAAACAGAAAUCCUGUCAAAGAAUGGCUUCUUUGAAGUGUAACUCAGAUCCAGACACAGCUGAUUUGACUAUCUGAGGCAGCUUACUGUAAUAAAAAAAGAACCGGAUCAGAAUGAGUGUGUUGUGGUAUGUUAGUAAAAAUAUUUGUCAUAUGGCAGAGAGAGUAGUGACAGAAGUGUGAGAGAGAGAGAAAGACAAAAAAGUAUUGACAGACACAAAAGAGUGUCAGUAGAUUUGUUUUGAAAGCUAAAAAAAAUUAAGUUUUUGAUGAAACGAGAGCAAAGCACUGACAGAAGUGGAAAGACAAGAGGGAGGAAGAGAGCGACCGGUAGAACGUGCAGCUCUGGGGGGCUCGUCGCCACACAGACGAAGAUGUGAAAGAUGAGGCCAGGUUCUAAUGACUCAUCCUUUGACAUUUUAUGAAUAAUCCUCUGACACAAUCUGAUCUGCUGCUCAGUCUCACUCAGAGGGGUCUCGGGUCACAUCUCUCUCUUUCUCACGUUCAUACUGCGCUACGAUGGAGUUAUGGUACAUUAGUUUAUCUGUGUUUCUGUGCCAACUGUCGGCUGUCCAAUGUCUCAAAUGUUCUGGGCAACAGUAUUCCUGGCCAUCGCUCAAUCCCACUUUAUGCUGUGACAAGUGUCCACCAGGUAAAUACAUGCUCAAACGUUGUGUAGCAUCACAGAGGCAAGAAACCGUGUGUGGUUCCUGUCAAGAUCGGUUCUACACAGAAACCUACAACACUAAGCUAGCCUGUGAUAUCUGCACACUGUGCACAGACGACUUAGUGUAUGAGUCCAAGUGCUCGACCAGUCGUAAUGCUGAGUGUACAUGUCAGGAAGGAUACCAAUGCAGACAAAAGCCCUGCCAAAGUUGUGAUCCCCUCCCCAGCCAGCCGACAACCAAUCACACACCUGCUGAC